rnacentral:rRNA from 1 species
CACGGGAGCAAUCCUGGUGGCGAGUGGCGAACGGGUGAGUAAUAUAUCGGAACGUGCCCAGUCGUGGGGGAUAACGCAGCGAAAGCUGUGCUAAUACCGCAUACGAUCUACGGAUGAAAGCGGGGGAUCGCAAGACCUCGCGCGAUUGGAGCGGCCGAUAUCAGAUUAGCUAGUUGGUGGGGUAAAGGCCCACCAAGGUGACGAUCUGUAGCUGGUCUGAGAGGACGACCAGCCACACUGGAACUGAGACACGGUCCAGACUCCUACGGGAGGCAGCAGUGGGGAAUUUUGGACAAUGGGCGCAAGCCUGAUCCAGCAAUGCCGCGUGCAGGAUGAAGGCCUUCGGGUUGUAAACUGCUUUUGUACGGAACGAAACGGUCUCUUCUAAUAAAGGAGGCUAAUGACGGUACCGUAAGAAUAAGCACCGGCUAACUACGUGCCAGCAGCCGCGGUAAUACGUAGGGUGCGAGCGUUAAUCGGAAUUACUGGGCGUAAAGCGUGCGCAGGCGGUUAUAUAAGACAGAUGUGAAAUCCCCGGGCUCAACCUGGGACCUGCAUUUGUGACUGUAUAGCUAGAGUACGGUAGAGGGGGAUGGAAUUCCGCGUGUAGCAGUGAAAUGCGUAGAUAUGCGGAGGAACACCGAUGGCGAAGGCAAUCCCCUGGACCUGUACUGACGCUCAUGCACGAAAGCGUGGGGAGCAAACAGGAUUGGAUACCCUGGUAGUCCACGCCCUAAACGAUGUCAACUGGUUGUUGGGUCUUCACUGACUCAGUAACGAAGCUAACGCGUGAAGUUGACCGCCUGGGGAGUACGGCCGCAAGGUCGAAACUCAAAGGAAUUGACGGGGACCCGCACAAGCGGUGGAUGAUGUGGUUUAAUUCGAUGCAACGCGAAAAACCUUACCCACCUUUGACAUGUA